AGUUUGAUCCUGGCUCAGGAUGAACGCUAGCGGCAGGCUUAAUACAUGCAAGUCGAACGGUUACAGCAAUGUGACGAGUGGCGCACGGGUGAGUAACGCGUACAUAACAUACCUUUAACUGGCGAAUAGCCUUGGGAAACUGAGAGUAAUACGCCAUAACAUUGUAGCUUGGCAUCAGGCAGCAAUUAAAGUUCCGGCGGUUAGAGAUUGAUGUGCGUUGGAUUAGAUAGUUGGUGAGGUAACGGCUCACCAAGUCAACGAUCCAUAGGGGGCGUGAGAGCGUGGUCCCCCACACGGGUACUGAGACACGGACCCGACUCCUACGGGAGGCAGCAGUAAGGAAUAUUGGUCAAUGGGGGCAACCCUGAACCAGCCAUGCCGCGUGCGGGAUGAAGGCGUUCUGCGUCGUAAACCGCUUUUAGAGGGGAAUAAAUCCCGAUACGUGUAUCGGACUGAAGGUACCCUCGGAAUAAGCACCGGCUAACUCCGUGCCAGCAGCCGCGGUAAUACGGAGGGUGCAAGCGUUAUCCGGAAUCACUGGGUUUAAAGGGUGCGUAGGCGGUUUUGUAAGUCGGUAUUGAAAGUUUGCAGCUCAACUGUGAAAUUGGUAACGAUACUGCAAGACUUGAAUCA
rnacentral:rRNA from 1 species